rnacentral:rRNA from 1 species
GACAGAGGGGGCAAGCGUUGCUCGGAAUUACUGGGCGUAAAGCGCACGCAGGUGGCUGAGUCAGUCGAUUGUGAAAGCCCUGGGCUUAACCUGGGAAUUGCAGUCGAUACUACUCAGCUAGAGUAUGGGAGAGGGUAGUGGAAUUCCCGGUGUAGCGGUGAAAUGCGUAGAUAUCGGGAGGAACAUCAGUGGCGAAGGCGGCUACCUGGCCCAAUACUGACACUCAGGUGCGACAGCGUGGGGAGCAAACAGG